rnacentral:rRNA from 1 species
UACAGAGGGUGCGAGCGUUGUCCGGAAUCACUGGGCGUAAAGGGCGCGUAGGUGGCGCGGUGCGCGUGCCGUGAAAGCCCGGGGCUCAACCCCGGGUCGGCGGUGCGAACGGCCGUGCUCGAGCGUACGAGAGGCAGGCGGAAUUCCGGGUGUAGCGGUGGAAUGCGUAGAGAUCCGGAGGAACACCAAAGGCGCAAGCAGCACCCUGGCUGAGGACUGACACUGAGGGACGAAGGCGUGGGGAGCGAACAGG